rnacentral:rRNA from 1 species
UACGUAGGGGGCGAGCGUUGUCCGGAAUCAUUGGGCGUAAAGAGCGUGUAGGCGGCCCGGUAAGUCCGCCGUGAAAGUCCAGGGCUCAACCCUGGAAUGCCGGUGGAAACUGCCGGGCUGGAGUCCGGAAGAGGCGAGUGGAAUUCCUGGUGUAGCGGUGAAAUGCGCAGAUAUCAGGAGGAACACCAAUGGCGAAGGCAGCUCGCUGGGACGGUACUGACGCUGAGACGCGAAAGCUAGGGGAGCGAACGGG